rnacentral:tRNA from 1 species
AAAAUUUUAGUUUAAAAAAAAAUAUUUCAUUUACAAUGAGAAGUUUUAUAAAUAAGUAAAAAUUUUA